rnacentral:rRNA from 1 species
AUUGAACGCUGGCGGCAUGCUUUACACAUGCAAGUCGAACGGUAACAGGCCGCGAGGUGCUGACGAGUGGCGAACGGGUGAGUAAUGCAUCGGAACGUGCCCAGUCGUGGGGGAUAACGCAGCGAAAGCUGUGCUAAUACCGCAUACGAUCUAUGGAUGAAAGCGGGGGACCGUAAGGCCUCGCGCGAUUGGAGCGGCCGAUGUCAGAUUAGGUAGUUGGUGGGGUAAAGGCUCACCAAGCCAACGAUCUGUAGCUGGUCUGAGAGGACGAACAGCAACACUGGGACUGAGACACGGCCCAGACUCCAACGGGAGGCAGCAGUGGGGAAUUUUGGACAAUGGGCGCAAGCCUGAUCCAGCAAUGCCGCGUGCAGGAAGAAGGCCUUCGGGUUGUAAACUGCUUUUGUACGGAACGAAAAGGUCUGGGUUAAUACCCUGGGCUGAUGACGGUACCGUAAGAAUAAGCACCGGCUAACUACGUGCCAGCCGCCGCAGUAAGAC